AAUUGGCCAGGUGCGGUGGCUCAUGCCUGUAAUCCCAGCACUUUGGGAGGCUUAGGAGGACGGAUCACGAGGUCAGGAGAUCGAGACCAUCCUGGCUAACAUGGUGAAACCCCGUCUCUACUAAAAAUACAAAAAAAUUAGCUGCGUGUGGUGGCGGACGCCUGUAGUCCCAGCUACUCGAGAAUCUGAGACGGGAGAAUGGCGUGAAUCCGGGAGGCAGAGCUUGCAGUGAGCUGAGAUCGUGCCACUGCACUCCACUCCAGCCUGGGCGACAGAGGGAGACCCCAUCUACAAAAAAAAAAAAAGAAGGGUGGGCCUCAUGGAGGGAGCAAUGGCGAGAGUACACAGAACAAAGAAGGGAAGGAUUUUUGUCUCUAACAUAGUCAGUCCCUGCUACUGUGUCCAGUCUCCAUAGGUUGGGGUCGGACGACACAAUCUAAGCCGAUCCUCAUUGACUACUUCAAAUGGAGCAGGGGUGGGGGCUACAGAGCAAUUUCGGAACUAAGGGUACCAAAUAAGGAACAGAUGUGAGUUGUUACAGAUUGGGAAUGGAUGUGGGUUACAGAUUGGGAACAGAUGUGGGUUAAUGGAUGUGGGUUACAGAUUGGAAAUGGCUGGAAGGUUGUUUAUCCUAACUAGGGGCAAGGAGGCAAGGAAGUUAGGCUUUGAAAACAGAGGACAAGUGUAACCUCUGAAGAGGAACUCGCUGUUUCCAACAACUUCUCCCUCUUGAUUUUCAUAAUUUUUCCUCUUCAAAGUUUUUAGAGUCUACCUACAGGAAUAAGUACAUCUAUAAGAACAGUAAGAGGUCAGCCAGAAUGCAAACAACAUUUCCAAGAAUCCUUGACUGAAUCUUCCAAACAGAAGCAAGCAACCACAAAUCCUACAGCAGUACAGAACUGGAUGUGCCAACAUGGAAACAGGGAAGUGGAUGCCUUCUUAGACAAGCCUAUGGAUGAGAACCAACUCCAGAUGAUACCUCGACUGCUGCUCUGAAAGAUCCUAAUCAUAGGACCCAAGGAAGCUCUGCCUGGACUCCGGAGUCACACAAACAGAUGUGUUGUUUUAAUCCACUACAUUCAGUGGUGGUAAAUUGUGUUACACAGCAAUAAAUAAUGAAU
rnacentral:lncRNA from 1 species